AACGAACGCUGGCGGCAUGCCUAACACAUGCAAGUCGAACGAACCCUUCGGGGUUAGUGGCGCACGGGUGCGUAACGCGUGGGGAUCUGCCCUUUGCUUCGGAAUAACAGUUAGAAAUGACUGCUAAUACCGGAUGAUGUCGCAAGACCAAAGAUUUAUCGGCAAAGGAUGAACCCGCGUAGGAUUAGCUAGUUGGCGGGGUAAAGGCCUACCAAGGCGACGAUCCUUAGCUGGUCUGAGAGGAUGAUCAGCCACACUGGGACUGAGACACGGCCCAGACUCCUACGGGAGGCAGCAGUGGGGAAUAUUGGACAAUGGGCGAAAGCCUGAUCCAGCAAUGCCGCGUGAGUGAUGAAGGCCUUCGGGUUGUAAAGCUCUUUUACCAGGGAUGAUAAUGACAGUACCUGGAGAAUAAGCUCCGGCUAACUCCGUGCCAGCAGCCGCCGUAAAAC
rnacentral:rRNA from 1 species